rnacentral:rRNA from 1 species
CUCUCUAACUCUAUAAUUAGGUUGUUGGGGUCGGUGCGCUGCAGCGCUGUGAACCUAGGUUCCUAGUGAGAGGGUGGGUUGUCACAAUCUGCCCGUUGCUCUGAUGGUUCAUGAUAACUCGACGGAUCGCAUGGCCUUAGUGCUGGCGACGCAUCAUUCAAAUUUCUGCCCUAUCAACUUUCGAUGGUAGGAUAGUGUCCUACCACGGUGGUAACGGGUGACAGAGAAUUAGGGUUCGCUUCCGGAG